AACUACUUGUACGCUAAUGGCGUAAUGUAUAAUUGGAAUUGAAUUAUUUCUGGAUUUACAAAGAAAAACAGCAAGACUUGCCGCAGCCAAAAGUAUAUCAACCGCUUUUAUAGCUUCGCAAAAGAAAGAAUCAUCAUCCUGGACAAUCAAGAACCAAUGGAUCAGAUUUUUUUCACCAAAACAUUUUUGUAUGCAUUGAAAAAGAAGUCAAAGUUACUUCUAUGAAAGAAUUACGAAACUUCUUAAUUUCUGUUAUCGUAUUUUGUUGGAGAUAGUUCUUGAUCGAUAAAAAAAGAGAUUAUACGCGAAGCGUGUGACGUACAGUAUGAAGAAAAGAAUUGUGAAGCUGUGACAGAUGAAUGUCCAAAAAAUAAUCUUUUAUAGGACCAAAUCUUUCUGUAAUAAUUGGAGCAUUUAAACCCGCAAAAAUUGUCGGUAUUCCCAGAGGUUUGAAAAAACUUGUUUCCUCAAAAAUGAAGAGUCUACGGUACACAGAACUUAUAUAUUAUAUUAUAUAGAAAUCCUUGGAAUGCGCCACUUCUGAGUCUAUUAAAAGUCUUUACAAUCAAUUACUUACCAUACAUGGCAGUAGUGUAAUAUAAAUUUGAAUGGAAUUAUUUCAGGACUUAGAAAGGUAUCAUAAUCGGAUAUAUGUGUAAUCGUCUUUAAUAUGAAUGGGUUUUUGAUAUAAUUGUACUUUGGACGGCUCAUGCUUCCUUAUCGAGUGCCUCUUUGUCAAGAGCUAACAAAGUUUCAUUUCAAUUUAAUCUCGA